GUUCGUAUUAACAAUUAAUGAAAAAUUAAAGAAGCAGCAAUAUGGUUGUAGUGGUUGUCAUCAUGAAGCAGCCGCGCAGGCGUAUGUAAAAUGAGAAGGAGAGAAAUUAACAAAAUAGUACAUAUGAAAUAUUUCCAAAUAAUUACAAAAAUCAUUUUGCAACGAAAUAGUUAAAUCAAAGCAUUUACAAUAUUAAUUCGUAAUCAAGCAUCAAACGUUUUUGCAACCUAAGAAAAUCUAAGCCUAAGCUCAAGUUCACAACACAGGAACACAGGGCGCAAACGGCUGGCACAAUCAGCUAGUUCAAACAAAAGCUAAGGGACACGGUGAAUAGAAAGCAGUGAAACGGUGUAUGUGUGUUUGUGUACAUACAUACAUAUGUAUUAGUGGUGUUUGCGUCAAGCGUGAGUGUGUGUAUGUCCAGGGGUCAGAGGUGCUAUUUUCAAACGCUUUUGUAUGUAAAUGUGAAUAUAUAUACAUACAUACAUACAUUUACCGUAUAAUUUAGCAUCCUUAGAAAGUUCUAGUGUUCAAAUUAAUUAUCAAAUUCAAUUAAUUAUUAAAUUAAAUUAAAAAAAUAAUAUUCAUUAAACUAAAAAAUAAUAAUCAUUUAAUCUUGACUAUAAAAAUGAAAGUAAUUGUAAAACAUAUUUAAAUAAUAAUAAUGGUACAAUACAGAAUAAAUAAGGAAAUACAUUUUUUGUACUUUUUUAUAUAAAAUGUGAGAUAUAAUCAAACUAAAAUUAAAUAAAAAAAUAAUAAUAAUCAAAUACUUUAUAUAAAUAGCGAGGGUUGAUCUGAUGAAGCACUCUUCGAACACAAAAACACCAACUAAUCGCGACAUUUGAAUGGAUUUGAGCACAACAUUUACACAACAAAAACGAAUUUAUUAGCAAUAAAGCUGUAAAAUAGCGUAAACAAUUUUGCAAAA